rnacentral:rRNA from 1 species
CCCCUAGAUGUUCUGGGCCGCACGCGCGCUACACUGAACAGUUCAACAAGUCUUAACCUUGGCCGAUAGGUCUGGGUAAUCUUUGAACGCUGUUCGUGAUUGGGAUAGACCUUUGCAAUUAUGGGUCUUCAACGAGGAAUUCCUAGUAAACGCAAGUCAUCAGCUUGCAUUGAUUACGUCCCUGCCCUUUGUACGCACCGCCCGUCGCACCUACCGAUUGAAUGGUCCGGUGAAAUCUCGGGACGGCGGCUUGGUCGCUUGCGUCCGACUGCUGAAACUUGAUUAAACCAUAUCAUUUAGAGGAAGGUGAAGUCGUANCA